AUGAACGCUAGCUACAGGCUUAACACAUGCAAGUCGAGGGGCAGCAUGGUCUUAGCUUGCUAAGGCCGAUGGCGACCGGCGCACGGGUGAGUAACACGUAUCCAACCUGCCGUCUACUCUUGGACAGCCUUCUGAAAGGAAGAUUAAUACAAGAUGGCAUCAUGAGUCCGCAUGUUCACAUGAUUAAAGGUAUUCCGGUAGACGAUGGGGAUGCGUUCCAUUAGAUAGUAGGCGGGGUAACGGCCCACCUAGUCUUCGAUGGGUAGGGGUUCUGAGAGGAAGGUCCCCCACAUUGGAACUGAGACACGGUCCAAACUCCUACGGGAGGCAGCAGUGAGGAAUAUUGGUCAAUGGGCGAGAGCCUGAACCAGCCAAGUAGCGUGAAGAAUGACUGCCCUAUGGGUUGUAAACUUCUUUUAUAAAGGAAUAAAGUCGGGUAUGGAUACCCGUUUGCAUGUACUUUAUGAAUAAGGAUCGGCUAACUCCGUGCCAGCAGCCGCGGUAAUACGGAGGAUCCGAGCGUUAUCCGGAUUUAUUGGGUUUAAAGGGAGCGUAGAUGGAUGUUUAAGUCAGUUGUGAAAGUUUGCGGCUCAACCGUAAAAUUGCAGUUGAUACUGGAUAUCUUGAGUGCAGUUGAGGCAGGCGGAAUUCGUGGUGUAGCGGUGAAAUGCUUAGAUAUCACGAAGAACUCCGAUUGCGAAGGCAGCCUGCUAAGCUGCAACUGACAUUGAGGCUCGAAAGUGUGGGUAUCAAACAGGAUUAGAUACCCUGGUAGUCCACGCCGUAAACGAUGGAUACUAGGUGUAGGAGGUAUCGACCCCUCCUGUGCCGGAGUUAACGCAAUAAGUAUCCCGCCUGGGAAGUACGAUCGCAAGAUUAAAACUCAAAGGAAUUGACGGGGGCCCGCACAAGCGGAGGAACAUGUGGUUUAAUUCGAUGAUACGCGAGGAACCUUACCCGGGCUUAAAUUGCAGAUGAAUUACGGUGAAAGCCGUAAGCCGCAAGGCAUCUGUGAAGGUGCUGCAUGGUUGUCGUCAGCUCGUGCCGUGAGGUGUCGGCUUAAGUGCCAUAACGAGCGCAACCCUUGUUGUCAGUUACUAACAGGUUCCGCUGAGGACUCUGACAAGACUGCCAUCGUAAGAUGUGAGGAAGGUGGGGAUGACGUCAAAUCAGCACGGCCCUUACGUCCGGGGCUACACACGUGUUACAAUGGGGGGUACAGAGGGCCGCUACCACGCGAGUGGAUGCCAAUCCCCAAAACCUCUCUCAGUUCGGACUGGAGUCUGCAACCCGACUCCACGAAGCUGGAUUCGCUAGUAAUCGCGCAUCAGCCACGGCGCGGUGAAUACGUUCCCGGGCCUUGUACACACCGCCCGUCAAGCCAUGGGAGCCGGGGGUACCUGAAGUGCGUAACCGCGAGGAGCGCCCUAGGGUAAAACUGGUGACUGGGGCU
rnacentral:rRNA from 1 species